rnacentral:rRNA from 1 species
UACGAAGGGGGCGAGCGUUGUUCGGAUUUACUGGGCGUAAAGGGCGCGCAGGCGGUUCUGUUUGUCGAGUGUGAAAGCCCCGGGCUCAACCUGGGAACUGCGCUCGAAACGGCGGAACUAGAGUUCGGGAGAGGAGAGUGGAAUUCCCAGUGUAGAGGUGAAAUUCGUAGAUAUUGGGAAGAACACCGGUGGCGAAGGCGGCAUCCUGGACCGAUACUGACGCUGAGGAGCGAAAGCAUGGGGAGCGAACAGG